rnacentral:tRNA from 1 species
ACCUGGGUGGCUCAGUGGUUGAGCGUCUGACUUCAGCUCAGGGCAUGAUGCUGGUCCUGGGAUCGAGUCCCACUCGGGGUC